rnacentral:lncRNA from 1 species
GCAUGAGGCGGAGUUGCAGAGCUGCCUUCCUGGGUCGUCCGCUUGGUGUGGGUGCCCGCCUCAGACUACUUGUUUUUCCCUUACCAUUGAUGAUAUUUCUCCCGACGACCGCGGCGAAACCAUCGAUCUGCCAAGACAAACAUAAACUGGUAAUCUGAACUUCGUACCAAUUACUCACUUAUAAACACAAUGUACCAGAUGGCAAUGGCAGGUCAUAACUGCGAUUUAUAUUACGUUUAGACUAAAAGGACAUGCAACUUUGUUUUCAUCAAGGAACUGAACGAUGUCAAUUCCAGACCGCACAUUUCUUCGGUUCAAGAACAACUAACACCAAGGGAGUUCAGCAAAGAUUCUACAUAACAUUAUCAAAAGAUUAGUCCUAGCUUUUUCAAGCGGAACAAAUACGAAUAUUGUAGGAAAAAGGUUCAGUAACAAAAGGAGAUUGUAUUUUACCUUGGAAAAUUGGGAUCCUGUAUGAGCAUAAACUGCGUUGAACGGAUCAUGGAACAAAUAGUUGUCAGCAUACCGAUACAAUGCUCG